rnacentral:rRNA from 1 species
CCACGGGUGAGUAACACGUAUCCAACCUGCCGUCUACUCUUGGCCAGCCUUCUGAAAGGAAGAUUAAUCCAGGAUGGCAUCAUGAGUUCACAUGUCCGCAUGAUUAAAGGUAUUUUCCGGUAGACGAUGGGGAUGCGUUCCAUUAGAUAGUAGGCGGGGUAACGGCCCACCUAGUCAACGAUGGAUAGGGGCUCUGAGAGGAAGGUCCCCCACAUUGGAACUGAGACACGGUCCAA